AAGCGUUUUAUUAGCAGUUUAUGUUGGGUGGGCAGCUGAAAGGAGUCGUACUGAAACAAACGGCUCCUUGCUAUGGACCUAUUUUGAAGUGCACGGCUUCCGAAUUAAAAUUAAAUUCCGAAUUAACUUCCAUUAACUCCAUUAACUUCCAAAGUCUGAGAUUUGUCCUUUUACUUAACAUGAAUGGCGUUGAACACGGAUAUAUAACACACAUAUCAUUGAAAUAGCUGUAACAGGCACGGACGUAUUGAUUACCUGAAUGAUUAUGGGAGACCUACGUAAUUUUCAUAAUAUUGUUAAUUGUCUGAUAUUAACAUUUCAGUUGCGUUGGUAGGUAUUUCAUUUUCAUUUGCUUGUUUAGCUAUGUAUGACAGGGUUAUGGUUAGCUAUGUAUGACAGUUGACAAUGUUGGUGUAUUACAAUUCAUUAUUUGGGUAGGCUACUCCAACUUCGUUGCUGGUCGAUAUGUAAACAUUUACUUUUAUAUAAAUUAUUGAUUGCAUUUUUCGUAAAUAGUUAGUUCGAAGGAAUCUGUUUCUUAAGCAAUAACAUUGAACUGAAUUUUUUAGGCCUACAUACGUUUACUAUGUUACUAUGGUAUUAUAUGGAGCAAUCUUACAUAUUUAUGAAGUUUCCAGAUCAAUAAAGUUCUAUCUCUUUUUAUUUGAACUGCCUGUAUGUCCUCUUGAUUAUAAUAUUACAGUGUGUACCUUGGUUAUCAGCUAUCAUAGAAUGGUGUCCAAAUGGCUGCAUGUGUAAGAAAUAGGAUUUGAACCAAGUGUUACAAUAAAAAAAGCUAGAUAUAGAGUGGGUGACUUUAUCAGUAUACUCAAUCGAGAUGGCCACAAUAAUAACCGCUCUUAGAUGGGUUGUAGAUACUAAGUUUUAUAACAGAUAAUUCAAUACGUGAAGAUUUGGUGAUAGAGGUAAAGCAUCUUCUUUUAAAUAUUAUAAGCCUUGGUUUAGUUAUUCAGUUCUGUUGGAUUCUAGCCCACCAUGGAAUAUAUGGCAAUGAAAUUGCUGAUAAAUUAGCUAAAAGAUACUAACCUAAUUAGAAGAAUUUAACCUUAAGUAUAUAUAUUUUUUAUUUUUUAUUUUUAUUUUUUAAUUCUUUUGUUAGUUUGUUUUAUUUUGUUUAUUUUGUUUCGUUAGUUUGGUUUUUUCUUUGAAUUUAUUUUUAUGAUUUAAAGUAUCAUUUGCCAACGUCCUUGUCACAAACUCCUGUGUAGCAGUCCAGUAGGUGGCGGUAUAUGGGGAAAAACUAUGAUCCGCCACUAAACUAGAAGAAGAAGAAGAUCUCUGCAUCCGGUACGUCACGGACUAGGUCACGUGUCUUGGCCCCAUAACGCGGAAGCAAAUCGCUCCUGUAUGUUGCCCUGCGCCACUGAGCAGUUUGUAUAGGAAUGAAUGGGCGGCCAUUUUCUUUCGUCUGUGGUCCAUCCUUUAUUAUGUCCAUGGAUUAGACCCAGCUUCGAAAGUUGACUGCAUACAUCAUCUCUGGCCUUACUAUAAAAUAUUGAUUUACAAUGUGCAAUUUUUCCCUGAUAAAUUAAAUUCGACGAACAAAACCUGCAGCUGUCGUUGACGGACAUUUUUGUGCAGACGCGCAAGGUGUUUUGGUUUGUGUACAACCUGCGCGUGAUUCCCGGCGCAUGACAUACGUCACAACCAAACGUUAGCGAUUGGUUAUGGCAGAUCCAGAGUGGCACUGGGCAGAUCCAAUCAUUUUAAACUUCAACAGACACCCGCCUUCAAGUGAGUUAACGUUUGUCAAUUGAUUAGGUCCAGACUCUCUGUACAAAUGAAAUUAAAUGAAGUGAAGUACGAGAGUCUGGUAGAACCAGGCUAGGUCUGGACCUGCUGUAUGUAAUUUGGUUUUCUGGGGCCGCCACAGCGGCGCCCAAUCAGCGAACAGAGGGCGUGUCUGAGAACAAUGACGAUAAAGUCGUGCGCCAGUUUGAGUUGUUGUUGUAGGUCGGUAGUCAGAAGGCAAUGGAGAACGAUGUGAGCGAAGCUAUUCGGUCUGUUGUGGCAACGCUGCCGAAUAUUGAGAAGUUAAAGCCGGAGCAAGAACAAGCUUUGUUGAGUUUUGUUGGUGGCCAUGAUGUGGUGGCGCUUCUCCCCACGGGGUUCAGGAAAAGUUUGAUUUUCCAGCUGGCUCCGCUAUUGGUGAAGGAGUUGGGUAAGGCGAAUGCUGGCGAUGCUAAGCCGAUAGUUAUUGUAGUCUCCCCUCUCGUUGCACUAAUGGAGGACCAAGUGAAGGAGGCAGAACAGUUGGGAGUUCGUGCUGGGCAGCUCGGCGUGCAUGAUGACCGUGACAUUUUGGAUGGAAGCUUGAGUCUGGUGUUCGGCAGCCCCGAGUCCUGGCUGCUGAACAACAAAUGGUGACGAAUGCUAGCCUCAACCAUAUACCAGGACAACCUCAUUGGUAUCGUCGUAGAUGAGGUCCACGUUACGUACAAAUGGGGUGAGGCUUCCAAAGGCGAGUCGGCAUUCCGAGAGAGUUUUGCCAAGCUCGGAGAGCUAAGAUCUAUAGCCAAGGAGGGCUGACACACCUGCAGCAAAUUUGAGAUCCCCACGCCCAAUUACCAGCCUGCUGCAUAAAGCCAGCAAGUCAGUUGCUUGAGGAGAACAGACCCGGCAACACCUUUGUCCCACAGUGCGAGUUGUUAAAUAGCCUUUUCUUUCUGUAAUCUUUGAUCUAGGCCUGGGGAUGGCCGGCGGUCCUACUUUUCCGUUUAGUUCUUAGUUUAUGAUUUGGUUUGGUCAGGCAGGGAGGGGGGCCAGCCUCGACGUCCCUAUAGGGGGUGGCCUGGUCCCCCCUCCAUUUUGCUGAGUUUGUCCGGCAUCCCCAGGUCCCUUUUGGUUUGCAGUCUUCUUUAUUUGGUAAAGUAUUCAUACUGCAUUUCAGCUAUGGUUUCAUUUGGUUAAUAAAACCCGUUAAAACAUCUUAUUUCAUGGUGUCCUUCCUUUAUGUUGGGGUCUCCAAUUCAAGCCACUGGGUAUCUUAUUC